rnacentral:rRNA from 1 species
CAGUCGCCGCGGGAAUACGUAGGUGGCAAGCGUUGUCCGGAAUUAUUGGGCGUAAAGGGCUCGCAGGCGGUUUCUUAAGUCUGAUGUGAAAGCCCCUGGCUCAACCGGGGAGGGUCAUUGGAAACUGGGAAACUUGAGUGCAGAAGAGGAGAGUGGAAUUCCACGUGUAGCGGUGAAAUGCGUAGAGAUGUGGAGGAACACCAGUGGCGAAGGCGACUCUCCGGUCUGUAACUGACGCUGAGGAGCGAAAGCGUGGGGAGCGAACAGGAUUAGAUACCCGAGUAGUCCCUGUCUCUUAUAC